UUUUUAAUCUCUUCUUCUUCUAGCUUCUUCUACUUUCUCAGGAAUCAGGAACAGAUUACUUUUGUUGCAUCCGCAAGCUGAUUUUGCGGGUCAAAAAAUACCUAUCUUAUAUCGAAACUUCAAUUUUUAGCAAGCAAAUGGUAUGAGAAACUUUUAUGCGUUAUUCUUUUUGCCCCUUGAAGGAUAGUUAAGUGUUUCAACAAGGAAUUGUCUAGCGAACAGAAAUGACGAUGUUGAUCAUAAGCAUCACUUUAAGUUUGUAAGCAUUUCAUUUGUUUGAUUUCUAGAGAUAUACAAGUUCAAUGUUGUUGCCACCAUUUUCUAUUUCUGAACUCCCUUCAGGAGAACAGAAACUCAAAAUCCUACAAAAGGAGAAUGAAUAAGGAAAUACCUUGUGGACACCCAACUGAAGAUUGCCACAACUAGCUUAAUGCAUCAAUAGUGGAUCAAAUUUCAAAUUUAAUUUAACUUGCUGGCAACCAGGAUGAAACUACAUUUGAUUCUGCUUGUUCGAUAUGAUAGAUUAGUGUGUUUUCCUCACAAGAUCCACUUUGUAGUGAACGACUCAGUAUGAUGGACAUAAGGAGCUUUAGCAUUGUCAGAUGUUCUUGGAGUGGCAUUUUUCAAUUCAAUAUAUGCUUUAGAGAAGAAUACAAACUGAUAUAUACUCCAAAUAGAGGGCAAGAGGUGGGCUUAGAUUGAAAUUUUGAUUUAGAGAAUUACAGGAGCUGGACUUCACUUCUAUUGGAAAGGUAUCAUGCCGGUUGGAUCAUCAAUCGAAGCAAAAGUUGAUAUAUUUUGAUAUUUCUAUUAUUCUUGUAAUUCAAAGCAUCAUCCUCUUUGUACAUAUCAUUUAGGUGUUUUUUAAUUACUUUAGGAAGGAUGAAUUCUUGAAUUGCAAUUAGCAAUAUUUGUAGUUGU